GGGGGGGGGUGGUGACUGAUCAACUGAAAAAACUGAGAUUAAACUGAGAAAUUUGAAAAACCCUGUUUGAGAUUUUGCUUGAAAUCGUUGUUUGGGAUUAAAUAGCAGGGUCGCAUCCAGUAUUCCGAGAAGUACUUCAAUGAUAUCUACGUGUACAGGCAUGUGGCUAAACUGCUCCCAAAAAAAGGGGCUUCUCUGCGAGGGAUGGGUCUUCUUCUUCAGCUUAGUGGGCACUGUACCUUUAGCAGAGCGUCUAGGUAAUGCGACUGAGGCAUUGGAUGUUUAACUUAACAUCACAAGUAAAUUGCAUUGGUUCUUUCCAUUGAAUUUGUGCUUUGGCCUUGCUCAACUGAAGUCCUUCCCGAGAAAUCUGGAGCACCAGAUUGUCCUGCAAUACUUUAUGAAGACUCAAAGAUGCAAAUUUGUAUGAGAUGCAAGUUUAAUCAUCCAAAGGACAAGUAUGCUUUUGCUGCUGCCAAUCUACAGGUAAAGCUUAAAUUUACAUAUAUAUAUUUUUUAUUUUUCUUGAUUGGAAUUUGGGCUUUUUGUUCCUCCUUAAUCUCAAAGUUCUGUAAUUUAUGCAACUUUGAUCGAAAGACAUGUUUUUUAUUGCUGAAAAUUGUUAACCCCUGUUUAGGUAUUCAUUUGCUAAUUAAAAUCACUUUUUGGAUUCCGUAACUGAACCUCCUUGCUCCUCUUUUAACUCUAGAAUCUUCAGUAUAUAUGUGGGUUUUGCUUUGAAUUUGAUAAACCUCUCUGUGUUCGUGAGCUGAUACAGUUUUUGGGUACUAAGUCAAAAUUUUGUUGGAUAGGAACCCAUAAACAAGUAUGAGGAAGUGUGUGAAUCAUCACUCAGCAAGGGUGAUUGGCGAUAGAAAUUGGGUUAUUCCAUUCAUUACUGGCUUUAUCCUACUCAUUACCCUCUAUUUCUUAAAAGGGUUUUGGCUCUGGAAGGAGAUGGCGAUCGGUGAAAAUGAUCGGAGUUCGUUGCUGUGUGGGUGAUCCCAGUGUAGCGCUGGUUUUCAACUCUGGUGAUUUGUAGGGUUUUGGGGGUGUGAAUUUUGGGGUAUUUCAUUUGGAUUUCUGGGUAAGCAGUUGCCACCUCUAUCAACUAAAAUUUAGUUCCCUUCUUUUGUUUCUCAAAUUUGUUUUGCCACCUCUAUCACCUGUGGUUAAUUGUUUUGCAUUCUUUGUGGUCAUUUUUAUUCUUUCCAUGGUUUCCUGUAA